rnacentral:rRNA from 1 species
CGGGAGAUAGCUGGUUCUCCCCGAAAGCUAUUUAGGUAGCGCCUCGUGAAUUCAUCUCCGGGGGUAGAGCACUGUUUCGGCAAGGGGGUCAUCCCGACUUACCAACCCGAUGCAAACUGCGAAUACCGGAGAAUGUUAUCACGGGAGACACACGGCGGGUGCUAACGUCCGUCGUGAAGAGGGAAACAACCCAGACCGCCAGCUAAGGUCCCAAAGUCAUGGUUAAGUGGGAAACGAUGUGGGAAGGCCCAGACAGCCAGGAUGUUGGCUUAGAAGCAGCCAUCAUUUAAAGAAAGCGUAAUAGCUCACUGGUCGAGUCGGCCUGCGCGGAAGAUGUAACGGGGCUAAACCAUGCACCGAAGCUGCGGCAGCGACGCUUAUGCGUUGUUGGGUAGGGGAGCGUUCUGUAAGCCUGUGAAGGUGUGCUGUGAGGCAUGCUGGAGGUAUCAGAAGUGCGAAUGCUGACAUAAGUAACGAUAAAGCGGGUGAAAAGCCCGCUCGCCGGAAGACCAAGGGUUCCUGUCCAACGUUAAUCGGGGCAGGGUGAGUCGACCCCUAAGGCGAGGCCGAAAGGCGUAGUCGAUGGGAAACAGGUUAAUAUUCCUGUACUUGGUGUUACUGCGAAGGGGGGACGGAGAAGGCUAUGUUGGCCGGGCGACGGUUGUCCCGGUUUAAGCGUGUAGGCUGGUUUUCCAGGCAAAUCCGGAAAAUCAAGGCUGAGGCGUGAUGACGAGGCACUACGGUGCUGAAGCAACAAAUGCCCUGCUUCCAGGAAAAGCCUCUAAGCAUCAGGUAACAUCAAAUCGUACCCCAAACCGACACAGGUGGUCAGGUAGAGAAUACCAAGGCGCUUGAGAGAACUCGGGUGAAGGAACUAGGCAAAAUGGUGCCGUAACUUCGGGAGAAGGCACGCUGAUAUGUAGGUGAGGUCCCUCGCGGAUGGAGCUGAAAUCAGUCGAAGAUACCAGCUGGCUGCAACUGUUUAUUAAAAACACAGCACUGUGCAAACACGAAAGUGGACGUAUACGGUGUGACGCCUGCCCGGUGCCGGAAGGUUAAUUGAUGGGGUUAGCGGUAACGCGAAGCUCUUGAUCGAAGCCCCGGUAAACGGCGGCCGUAACUAUAACGGUCCUAAGGUAGCGAAAUUCCUUGUCGGGUAAGUUCCGACCUGCACGAAUGGCGUAAUGAUGGCCAGGCUGUCUCCACCCGAGACUCAGUGAAAUUGAACUCGCUGUGAAGAUGCAGUGUACCCGCGGCAAGACGGAAAGACCCCGUGAACCUUUACUAUAGCUUGACACUGAACAUUGAGCCUUGAUGUGUAGGAUAGGUGGGAGGCUUUGAAGUGUGGACGCCAGUCUGCAUGGAGCCGACCUUGAAAUACCACCCUUUAAUGUUUGAUGUUCUAACGUUGACCCGUAAUCCGGGUUGCGGACAGUGUCUGGUGGGUAGUUUGACUGGGGCGGUCUCCUCCUAAAGAGUAACGGAGGAGCACGAAGGUUGGCUAAUCCUGGUCGGACAUCAGGAGGUUAGUGCAAUGGCAUAAGCCAGCUUGACUGCGAGCGUGACGGCGCGAGCAGGUGCGAAAGCAGGUCAUAGUGAUCCGGUGGUUCUGAAUGGAAGGGCCAUCGCUCAACGGAUAAAAGGUACUCCGGGGAUAACAGGCUGAUACCGCCCAAGAGUUCAUAUCGACGGCGGUGUUUGGCACCUCGAUGUCGGCUCAUCACAUCCUGGGGCUGAAGUAGGUCCCAAGGGUAUGGCUGUUCGCCAUUUAAAGUGGUACGCGAGCUGGGUUUAGAACGUCGUGAGACAGUUCGGUCCCUAUCUGCCGUGGGCGCUGGAGAACUGAGGGGGGCUGCUCCUAGUACGAGAGGACCGGAGUGGACGCAUCACUGGUGUUCGGGUUGUCAUGCCAAUGGCACUGCCCGGUAGCUAAAUGCGGAAGAGAUAAGUGCUGAAAGCAUCUAAGCACGAAACUUGCCCCGAGAUGAGUUCUCC